CUCUCUCUAGCUUUCCUUCCACAUGCCCAGCACAGCCGCCUUCCAUCUCCCUUUUUCUUCUUUUACAGGCUUGACAUUAAUUAACAUUCGGGUUAAUUAAUUCUAAAAGCUGGUGAUUUACUCGAACAAUGCUCGUAAGCCGGCUGACGAGGUGUUUUUCGCCCUAGCUUGUAACCGCAGUGCCUGGCAUUAGCUGUGUCUCUGCAUUUUCCUCCUCUUCACUGGUCCUGGAUAUAGAAAGAGAACUCCUCUACCCACAAUCAGCUGUACUGUUGUGCAACACAACCAGGGUUCCUAGUGGAUCUGCAUAUUCCCUCCGCAGCUCUACUUGAUGUUGCGGCUUGAGUUCUGAGUGGUUCAUUUAGCAGGCCUGGUGCUUCUUUGUCACAGUGAGGAGAGAUCAAAGAGGCUAUUUAAUGCUGAGGUCUAGAAACAACAAGAACACCCAGCUCAAGCAGUGUGCAGGGCCUGCUGUUGCAUGCCUAAGUUAUCUCUGUGGGAUCAGACCAUCCAAAGACUCUCAUCAAGAUGCGUUGCUCCCUCUCCAGGCCCCGCGACUCUCAGACUGCUCAGGUAAAUAUCCGGGUUUAAUGACGAACGGAAAGAUUAGCCAGUAACUCUCGCUCGCUAUUUCGAUGAGCGCCAGGAAAUUAUACGGGCUCUUUUGGGGGUUUUCUGCUUAUUAUAUGAUCUAAUGCAGAAGCACUUUAUGAGCAUGGACCAGGGUAUGGCGAGGGCAGUAUUGAUUGUGCUCAUUGUGAAUUAUGUGAAUAGAUAAAAGUGUGAGUGUGCAUAUAUAUUAGGCAAUUAUGCGCUCAGGUGCUAAUGUAAAAAUUUUGCUGAAUAAAUAUGAAAUAUGCCUCUAUCAGCAUCCAACAUGUGUCCCCCUCGACUCUGGUCAUUUGAGAUGAUAAUUGGGAUUGUGUGUUUGCCUUUUUCUGAUGAGACGAGAUAUUGUGAUAGCUCUCCUCAGCCCGGAUUUAAAUGUGUAUUGAUCAGUGUGAGGCUCAGGAGCUCAAACCAAAACAGCACAGCCCCCUCACACUUACUUGCUUAUAUAUAUUUCUUUGUUUUUUUUCCCCCAUUAAAUUUUGAAGUUAUCUUACAAUCUUCUGACAUUUAACAUCAGUUACUGUGUCACUAAACAUAAGAAGGUCUUCUGUAUUUGUUCUCGCCCUCUUUUCCCCAGUAGAAGUGUGCUAAUGUCAUGAUUUAAAUGAAGUAUUGAUCAGUUUAGGAGGGGAGAAUAGAGAGAGAGGGAGCGAUUGUGAGGGAAAGAAAGCAAGACCAGGGUUAUCGGUGUGGAUCGCAUACAGAAAGAGAGAGCUAACGGAUGAGACACGUUUUUAGCGAUUCCGUGAAAUGGAUUUCUGCAUAAUCUGUAUUUUUAAUUCAGGAAUUACCACCGGACUCUUUAAUUUGAUUUAUUCCAAGGGGGAAAAAAUGGACACGAAGAAAAAUCAGUGCAAUGGAUAUAGAUGUCUUUUUCAUUGUUGGGUUUUGUUAAUGUCAGGGAGUAUUUGCCAGUCUGUUUGCAGAUGGUAAAAAAAAAAAGGUUUGUCCUGGUUCCUAUCUGGGUUUCCAUCUUGUCUGCCUUCGGUUUCUUCUAUGACAACAACAACGCUGCUACUGCAUCAAGCGCUCUGGACUAAAGCCUCCAUCCAAGUGAUCCAGCAGCUAGCUGGACAUCCAGAGGCAAGGAUCUCUCAGUCGCUGCCUGAACUACAGGAGAGGCGUCUGGAUCUCUAAAGGAACAGAAUCACAUGCAGCAGAACCAAAAGCAGCUUUAAAGCCCGAUGCAGCAGGCCCCUGGAGCUCCAGAGUCAGGGUCCAGCACUGAUGGGAUGGCCUGGACUCUCAGCUGUGGUAAAGACCAUCCCGGUUUAUAAAGUGCCCGGCUAGGACACAUAGGACACCAGAAGAAGGUUGCUCUUUUGGGCUUUCUCUUGAGGCAGCAUAGAGUUGGAGCCCAGAAGUCAGUCCAGUGAAAGUGGCUUUAAAUGCAGCCUGCCCCACAGGGACAAUCCCACCCAGCCCUUCAUCUGGCAGUUAAAGUGGAGGAGGCGAAGAGGCAGAACGAAGAAAAGAUUUCUGAGCUACAGGUGUGGAGAAAGACGGUUAGAAGACAUGGGUGCAGAAUGAAAG